rnacentral:lncRNA from 1 species
AUAGCGUGAACACUACUUAGACAUACAUUCACCACUGAUGCAUCCAUAUCCCAACCUCAAAAACAUAUCUCAUUCAACAAUAAAACAACAUUGUUAUUUGUCCCUCAAAACAUUUGCAAGAAAAAGAUGUAUUGUGCUAUUUAAAUGUCAUAUGCUGUCUGUACAAGAGAAACAAGCUAUUGAAGCACCAACAUCAUCCAAUGCGACUGUACAAGAGAGACAAGUUAUUGAUGCACCAACAUCAUCCAAUGUGAUACAGAGUAGCCAAUAAUGGAAGUAACAUUCCAUGGCAUUUCAUACAUUGCAUUUCUUAUAAAAACCUGUCUUUUUGUGAGUUUUCAAGUGCAUCUGUUCCAACUUGCAGCACCCUAUAUGUCGUUAACCGCAUAUGAGCAAAAUCUAAGCUACUCCUUUUCCACUCUGAACAUUGGUUAUCAAUCUUGGGCCCGGUGAAGUCACUCCUAGAAAUAUGUAAUUGAAAUUCCUUGUAAUUGCUAGCCGGAUGCCUAUGUAUUCCAUGGACAGGAAAAAAGAUAAACCCAAGAAAUGUGUGAGAGAGAGAGACAAGGUCACCGAAUUUAGAACCAUGCUUUGUAAAAAAAUACCAACAUUUCUGAGAAGUCGAUAAAAGAUGAAUGUCAUCUAUGGUGAUCAAUGAUCACGAAAAAGAAAACUACAUAGUGUCUACAAUUUAACAUGCUCAAUUUAUUUUUCAAGAGGAACAACAUUCCUAGAACAGAGAGCAACAAAAUGCAUAAGAGAAUCCAAGUCAAUCAAAGUGAAAUGAGUUACAUUUCAAAUAAUCAUCUCAAUAACGAAGAACAUGCAAUAAGAACCCAUCCAUAAAAAAGGAAAGAAAAAGGCCAAAUUAAUUUCUUCAUGUAAAAAAAUUUAAAAAAUAUUACCUAUUGCAUAAAAUAAAACAGAAAAAAAAAAUGAAAGCAUAACCCUAUGAUCAAGGAGGCAAACAGCCAGGUACUCAGAAGACUGAAAAAAGGCAAAGUGCAGCAACAAUCAACAUUUAAAAAUUGAAAGGAAAUAUGCAAUUACGGGACAAGAGGAACAUUUAUGCAGCUGAAUACCCACACCAAUGCAUUAACAGUUUCACUCCCUCUCUAUUAUCUAUAGGCCCAAAAUAAGGCUGAAACUGAAGAGAGAGAUAAAGAGAUAAAGGUAAAGAAAUGCAGCAGGCUUUACUCAGAAUUGUGAAGUAAAAGACCCUAAAAAACAAAAACAAAAUAACCCAAAAGCAGAAGGCCAAAAAAAAAGGAAAACAGGGCCCUUCAAGAGAGAGAGGUACAUCACAGUCUAUGCUCCAUUUUCCUUUCUUUUAAGAAAGUAAAAGAUUUGGCACCAGUAGCUACAGUGAACAAGUUUCCUAUUUCAUAUAAUUACAUUGUAUAAUUAUGUCAUUGACUAUGAUGAUCAUGACAAUAUGGCACAAAACAACAUUUUAAAUGGCUACAGUUAUGUAUUAUACAUUGAAUUCAUAUUCUUAACAAAUAGAACAGACACAUACUUUUCAUAGAAGGUAAUUGUUGUUUUAGUUUCAUAUAUAACUGGAAAUGGUAAGGAACUAUUUCAACAUAAUAAAUGAGCCAAAUAACUUCUAGAGACUUAUGUAGGCCUCCCACAACUGCGUCGCCAUGGCAUCUUUAGACUGACACCAUCAUCAUGAUCAGCUUGCUCUUGAGUCAAUUGCGAGAAACCAUCAUCUCCUUCAAUUACCAGUUGACUCUCAACCCUCCUUCGAAACCACAUCUCUCUUAUGUUAUCGGCUCCUCGUGUCAUCAUGAUAUAGUUGUGCAAUAUUGCACAUGCAACAACUACAUCAACCUAUAUUUGUAAAGGAUACUGCAUUUGAUUCCCGAGUACAGGAAAUCUGGCCUUUCAAAGCCCAAAUGUCCUCUCCACUACAUUUCUAAGCGUUGAAUGCCGCUUGUUGAAUAACUCCAUGUGAUUCUGACGAUCUCGUAGGCUUGAAGUAAAUUUGUUUAGAUGGUAACAGACUCUUCGAUAUGGUCCUAUGAAACCACACAUAGUAGGAUAGCCACCAUCUACAAGAUAGUAUUUUCCUGUUCCAUAUUUGUGUAAUGAGUAUAUUAUACAGCCAAAUAUUACGCUGCCAAAUAUUAUACAAACUGAAGCAACGAUAAAUAAUGUAAUCGAGUUACCCUCAGGCACUGUAAGCCUAUUGCGUUCAUUACCAAUUGCAUCAUAUAGGACUUUAGAAUCUGAUGCGGAUCCUUCCCAACCUGCAAGUAUGUAAUGGAACGCAUGUCGAAACCAACCGCAGCCAUAACACUCUGGCUUAGAAAACCUUUUUUGUUUCGAAAACGAUUAUGCAGUCGACUACAAACUUAAGCAGGGACAUGAGUCCCAUCAAUAACUCUGACACAAUCCUAUUAAGAAUAAAAAAUCAUACCAUUAUAUAUUAGUACUCACUGGAUGUGAGAACGACAAUGUGGAUUACUUAACACUCACAUACCUUAAAAUAUGGGUAAAAGCGUAUUGUAUCACCAACAAUGUGGGCAGGUAUUUCAUUGCGUGGUGGUUGCAGGAACAACGGUUCCAAUUCUAAGAUUGUUUUUAAAACUCUAUGGAAGAAGUAACUUAUGCUUAGCCCUGAAUGUUGGAACCGUUCUUGGACCACCCUAUUCCGCGGACAGUGCUUAAAAAUAUUGCUACUUGUGCAUCAACUGUCAAAUAUCUUGUAUAUGUAAUGUUUGUCCUCUCCUUUAACAUAUUACAUAGACUGAUAAACACACUUUUUUCCAUUCGAAGCUUGUCGAAACACCUACGAGAGUGCCCUAAUAGCAAGUAUUGGACAUAAUUGGCCUCAGUAAAAAUUGAAGUAUGAACAUGCUUCCUCCUCAUGUGGUUAGUGAUAUAUUAAUAUGCAAUGCAACAUGCAGUAUAUGCCGCACCUAAUAUUACCACCAACUGACGCCGUCGUGGAUCCAUAAUUACAAAUGAAAGAAGUCAUCCACAUCCAUAAAGCAAACCAUAAAACAAUCUUUGACAUUGAAAUGAAAGAAGCGAUCCACAUCCAUAAAGUAAACCAUAAAGCAAUCCUUUACAAUUAAAAUGAAAGAAGCCAUCCACAUAUAUAUUUAAAACAUGCAAACCAUAAAACAAUCUUAAUCAAACCAUUAUAUGAAAGACGCCAUCCAUAGCCAUAAAGUAAACCAUAAGGCAAUCCUUUACAAUUAAAAUGAAAAAAGCCAUCCACAUAGAAAUGAAAGAAGCCAUCCACAUACAUAUUUAUAACAUGCAAACCAUAAAUCAAUAUUUAAUUAAACCAUUAUAUGAAAGAAGCCAUCCACAGCCAUAAAGUAAACCAUAAAGCAAUCCUUUACAGUUAAAAUGAAAGAAGCCAUCCGCAUACAUAUUUAUAACAUGCAAACCAUAAAGCAAUAUUUAAUCAAGCCAUUAUAUGAAAGAAUCCAUCCACAUCCAUAAAGUAAACCAUAAAGCAAUCAUUUACAAUUAAAAUGAAAGAAGCCAUCCACAAAGAAUGAAAUAAGCCAUCCACAUACAUAUUUACAACAUGCAAACCAUAAAGUACUUUUUGACGUUAAAAUGAAACAUAGUGAAUCAAAUAUCUAUUGGAGGCAUUUUAUCUCCGGAUUCAAAUACGCCCUUUGCAUCCUUCGAUCCGCCAAGUUUAAUAACAUCUCCGUCUUUAUAGAAUCUUGGAAGAUCGUUGUUGCUGUUAAAAGGACAGCAUCAUCAACUUCACCCACUUCCAAGAUGGCCUCAACAAUCUUAAAGGCAACUCUUCUGGCCUUGGAUGGACCAUCCACGAUAGGAGUACUGCUACCACCUGCAGUGUCACAUGCUAGCAUCUUAAUGCUCUUGGUCAUCUCUGCCAUGGCUAUAGUCGUGGACUCGGCAAGGGUGGGUUGCUUUGAUCGACGAUAUCUUCAUGUCAGAGUAUGGGACCGUCGUCUUUUUGAUCCAGAUGAUAUUGGGUCAUCAGAUGAUGAUGAGCUAGAUUCAUCCUAAACUUCUAAGGGAAGGUCAUGAGAGAAUGCAGUGUUGGGCCUUUUUAGCUCAAUUCUAAUGCUACCCCCAAUCGAUUUGUAAGUCCCAUCUGCCGUGCGACCCUCAAAGAUCUUAGUUAAUUGUGAAUAGUUAGGCAAGGUCUUGUUAUGAUAUUUAUUUGCCCACUCAUUCUCCUGCAUACAGAAGACUGUAAAUUAUUUUUAGCGAUAUUCAUAUUUAAACAUAGUUAACAUUUGAAAAGUCUAUGCAAAUGAGUAAAAUUACAUAAUGCUAAGAAAUCAUUUCAAACGGCAACCUCGACAGUUACAAUCCUCUUUGUAUCAUCCCAUCCGAAACCAGAUGCAGUCAUAAGUUUUUUUAUAUCACUGUACAUGAUUCUAAAGAACUUAUGCUUGCUCUUUAGCCUGGUUUCGGUGUUUAUUGGCCCAUAUUUGGUUCUCAUCGCCUCUACCAUCUGUUCCCAUGCACCUUUUCUAACUCUCCUGCCAUCCUCGUAGUCUUGGUCUCCUUCUCCAUAAGUUCAAUAAAGUAGUCCUUUUUUUACUGUGUCCAUUGCAAGUUUCUCUUGCCUCCCAUAAUAUCAUUCGUCGUACUUGAUGAUGUGUGUAGGUCCAUCCUAUUCUAGGAAACCAGCAGAUUUAUUAUAUUCUAUAUAAUCAUGCAACGCCACACAUCAAUUGCAUACAUCACUAUAGGCUAUGCUCCAAUAUACUUUAUACAAUCACCGAUUUCUAUCAUUCCUUAUAUCACCACUCAUCCAUCUCAAAAGAGAAUUGUGGGAGAGAAUCAUGAAUUGUGAGGACCUAAGGGUUUUAUCCAAAAGAUAACUAGGUGAGAGAUUUUUGAGCAACUAAGAGCUUUGAACCAAGAAUUUUGAGUAACUAAGAGCAAUCAAGUUUUCAACAAAGUUGUGAAAUAUGGAAAGAUCUGCAUCUUAAAGCAUAAAGUGGAACAAGAAAGUAGCUAAAUAAAUAUGAAAAGUGUUUUCAUAUUCAUAGAUGCUCACAUGAAAACCAACAAAAUGGAACUUGAAACAAGCUAAAUCACAAUAACCAAUACCUUGUACUGCAACGCUAAUAAGGAAAGCUUUGCUUAAUAUAGGAAUAAAGAUCUCAACAAGAGGGCAGUCAAUUGGAGCACAUACCAACAGUAAAAUGCAUAAAUUUCAAUUAAAAUUCAGUUUAAAAAAAUAAAAUGGAAUCCCAAAAUAACCUAGUUUUAGCCAAGUGAUAGCAAAAAAGCUUGAUAAUGCUUAAAUUCCACUUUCUCAGUUAUAUCUCUCUGAAUAUUGGAUUCUGUGUUUCGUGGAUUCCUUCCUAAAAAGUGUUUCCCAAGUGGUUUAUUUACCCAUGUUGUUGACUUAUUAUAAUGGGUUAAUUGAGAACUUGUUUUAUAGGAUCCAAACAACAAUGAACGCUUUUCCUUCACGCUUUUUCCUUCAUUUUAUGGAAAGGCUGUUUGCUCACUGAAUUUUACAAUUCAUCAUUAUUCAAUGACUCACAGAUUCAUCAGCCAAACUGAGGAACUCCGUGUUGAAGUGUUAAGAAGUUUUACAGUUUCGCAUUUUAUUCACAAAAAAGAAAAAGGGGACACCAAAUGUAAAACAAUUUCCAAAAAAAAGAAGCAAUUUUAAUAAAUAAUGGGAACAAAUGAAACCAUUGAGUGAAGAACAAAUUCAGGAAUGAAAACAAGCAAACUAGUAAGCAAUAGCCACUAAAUUUCACAAGUUGAAAGAAAACUAAGAAAGAAAGGAGCCCAUUAAUCUACGUUCUUCCAAGAAAUAGAGCAACCUUGAUUUAUACAUAACCCAUUAUGUAAAGGAAGAAGAUAUUCGCAUAAGAGAAGAAACCCAAGUAUCAGUGCCAUUCAAUCUUUUAAUUGUGUUAGGUGAAGAUGUUUAUUUCCAAAAGGCUUGAAAAAAAAGGAAGCAAAAUUGACACUAUAUCACAGAGAAGCUACUCAAAAAACCCAAAUACAAAAUAACCAAAUUAAUAAGAAAAUGAAAAUGUUGGUAAUAUAGUUCAUGCAUUUCUUGUUUGCAUAAAAAGAUAUAAACAAACCCACAUCAUAGUUGUAUAUCAUUGAAAAACUAUAUCAGAUUUCAUGAACCCAUAAGCAUUAUUUAUUAAAAAAAGAAAGAUAGCAAAAAGAGCAUAGUAGCUACAACAGUCAUAAGUGGAGUUAAGUAAAACUAAACAAACCCAAAAAUAAAAAAUAAAAAAAACUAAUAUUCCCAUAGUUAUCUACUCAGGAAAAAAACUCCCACACCAGAUGCAUUGAGAAACUCUUGUAUCAUUUUAUUUACAAAAAAGAAAAAAGGGGAAACCAAAUGGUUAUGAUUGUCACCUGUGUAGUAGAAGAAACCAGAUGAAAAGAAGGAUUGGAAAAUAAAGAGAACUGUGAAAUUUACGUGGAGUAGAGGGAGGAAUGCUCGAAGGGAGGGAUGAGGGGCAAGGUUUCUACAGAGAGCUGUAUUCCAAAAAAAAAAAUAGACAGCCAAAUUAUUUUUUCCCUACAAACAACAAUUUACCACAAAAUAAUAUUCAAAGAAAACUCUGGAUCCAUUUGCGCUAUGUUUGGAACCUAGAGAAAAAAUCAGAGAGAGCAAAAAAUGAGAGAGGCCAAAAAAUCAGCAAGACUAAUGGGUUGGGAUGAGACAGAGAUAGAGAGAGAAAGAGAGAGAGACCUACGGAGAAACCAAUACAUUGCCCUUCAUCAAUUCAACACAAAAAAUCUAACAAGAAACCAAUACAUUGCCCCCCCUUACUCCAACUAACAAAAGAAAGCAGCUUGCGUGCAGUAGCACUUACAUUAGCUUCAUAAAAUCAUAUGCAUCAUUCAAAACUUAAAUCCAAAACAAAUUCAGGCUCAAAAUGACCAAAGUAUCAUUUGGGCAAGACUUUGAACCUAGAAAUGUAUUGAUAAAUGGUAACAAUAGUAAGCAUCAAUGGAGGCUUGAGAACUCAACAAAAUUAAUCAUAGAACACAAAGCAUAUUGUGCAUGCUCACCACAACAAGAAGUGUUUCAACUUACAAUAGUUCAGAAGUAAACAACUGGUUUAUAUACGAGCAAUCCAUAGACAAACAUUUGAGGUGCUUAAAUGCACAAUCAUAACCCAAACAUAGUGGUAAUAUGAUAGUGGCAAUAUCAUAGAAAUAACCAGUAGAAAAUUAGAAAACAGAGCAAAAUUGAACGACAUUCAUGAAUAAUCAAAGAUAGAAGUAAAAAAAAAAUAUUAACUCAUUGAUUUGGGGUUUAUCAGAGAGUUAACUUACUGAUUUCGGGUUUAUGAGCAAAAAAACAGCAAAAAAACAAAUAACUCAAACUAACAACGAAAAAAAAAUUGAACUCACUGAUUUGGGGUUUAUCAAUGAGUUAACUUCUCUAUUUCGGGAUUAACAGCAAAAAUAGUAACAAAAAGAAAAAAACUCACUGAUUUGGUGUUUAUGAGCCAAAAUAACAGCCAAAAAAAAUAGUAACUCACUGAUUUGGGGUUUAUCAGUGAGUUAACUCACGGAUUUCGGGUUUAUGAGCAAAAAUAGCAGCAAAAAAUCAAAUAACUCAUUGAUUUGGGGUUUAUCAGCCAAACUAGCAGCAAAAAAAAAAUUGAACUCACUGAUUUGCGGUUUAUCAGUGACUUAACUUCCUGUUCUCAAACACGCCCCAAGACAUAGAGGGAGCAAAUGUACAAUGUGUUCCCAUGAUAGCAUACAAACAUAUUCAUUCUUUUCAUUGUAAGCUUUAUUUCAAUAUUGCAAAUUCAGUUAUACACAAUACUGAACUGCGCAAGCAACCAACAACACUAACAUGAGGAAGUCAACAUGGCUAAGCCUGCUAUACUUUUGAUUAUGAUAUCUGAUUGGAUGCCAAUAAAGGUCAACAGCUUGUGGGCCAUUUGAAAAUUUCACCACCGGUGAACACAAUCUACUUCUUAAUAGAGUAAUUAUAUAGGGAUACUUGUCUAAGCCUGGGCUUAGGCCCAGUUCAAGCAUCUAAAAUAUUUUAAAGGGAGAGAAUUUCUCCUGAUAUGUACCCUAGAACAGGUUGUCAUGUUCAAGCAUACAAACAUGGGACUGAUAGAACAUUGCCAUUAGGACCAGUGUAAACAUAUCAUAGAACAGAAAAAUAUUGACCAGUGGAAAACCCAUGACAGCUAUUAUAGCAAUGGGAGAUAGAGAAAGUACAACUGGAAUUAUAGAAACUGUGAGUAAACAGAGUAUAAUGUUAUGAGGAUUAUGUCUUCUAAUUAUUUUUAAUUUUAAUAAAAUUUCCUUCAUAACAAGCAUAACCUCUACCCCUUAAAAACCAUGCCAAGACCUUAAGCAUUGUAAGCUCCUUCACUUAAUAGUUCAUACAGUUACAUUUAUAAACCUGUUUCUAAAAUCAGGAGGAAAAUCAUGUGAAAAAAUUAAUAUCAUUAAAAUACAAUAACAUAUACAAAUUGAAAGUCUUUAUCAAGUUUCAGUAUACAAUAAAAAUUUUAAAUCUUCUGACUAAUUUUUAAUCUAGAUGUUUUCAAGGUUAGCAAAUAGGAGAAAAUAUAAGAUGAUCCAUCCUAGCAACCAUUCAAUCCAAUGUUUUCAAACUCGCCUCAGGCCUUAGACUCGUCCAUGGCCCAAGGUGGGUGACUUGGCCUAUUCUUUUACAAGUGAAAAAAAGCCAAAAAAUAAAUAAAUGUAACCAGAUUGUUAAAGAUAAUUAAAAAUAAUCAAAAAGUAAAAUAAGUAAUAGAAAUCAUUAAAAGUUAAAAAAUUCCAAGAAAGUAUCUCGCAGAUGGAUUAUUGAAAAUUUUGAUUUAUACCUUGAAAUAUUUUAAAAAAAUAAAAAAAGACAUAAAACUUUGGAGCAUGCAAUGAUAAAAGGAAAAAUAUACAAUGAAACCAUUUAUCUUUGGUACAAGGUGAUCACAAAUAAUUUUGACCAUUGGAUGUGAAGUUAGAUGGUUGCAUUUAGUCUAUUGACCAAGCUCAAACUUCAAAGAAAAUUUUCUUGAACUUUGUGACACACCCAAGCUAUCAGAAUGGUUGUACACAAUUGUGACCACCCUGUAUAAAAGGUAAAUGGUCUCAUUGUAUACAAUCCCAUAAUAAAAAUUCCCAAAUCAUCAUAAAUUGUAUUUCUAAAAUAAUAUAUAAGAUUUUUUAACAAAAUUAACGAGUUUUUAAUAACUUCUAACAACGGCGCGUUGCCCCCUGGAACUCGACUCUGCCAUAAGCCAAGGCCGAAUUACUUAGCCGAAUCUGAGUCCUUGAACAAUGGUUCAAUCCAUUGAUUGGGUGCUGAUGUAGACAAAGUAGAGUUUAACAUUCCACUCCUUUACAUGGCCAACCAACCCAUUGAUGGGAUGGUGACAACCUCAUGGCUAUGGGGUUAUGUGACUAGAUCAUCAUAUAGGGCCCUUAAAAAUAAAUACCAGUUUAAGCAUUACAAAUACUUUUCAAUCUCAACAUGGUAAAAGAUUUUGAGAACCUCGUCCACUUGUACAUUUUUGUCACAGCAAAUCAAAUUCCCAAGAAAAGCCAAGAUAUUCCCAAUAGGCCUAUUGAUAGGGGCCAUCCAUCCAAAUCAAUCUUUGAAACUUGGUCGAGGCAACUCGGUCUCGGCCCAUAUGCGAGGCGACUUUUUGGGCAAGCUAGUUGUACACAAUAUUUUUAAACUUUAAAUACAAAAUUACAUCAAAUUUAUAGCAGAUAUAUUAGAAUGUUUUUCUGGUUAGCUCCGAGCAGUGUUCACAAAACCGGCCAGUUAGAUCGCUAUUGGUGGGGUGGUGAUUCCGGUUAGGGCCAAUUUUAAUGUACACAAGGUAAGACGGCACUCCAAAAAAAUUCGGGACCAAAACCGAUCGGUUCAAUGUCGGACCGGCUUUUUUUAUUCAAAACUGGCUGGUUUUCCUAACCGAUCCGGUUUACCAUUGUUUUCGUCCGUUAUAACGCCGUUUUAACGCAUCAAAUAAUGGGCAUUAUUUGACACAGGCCCGUUACUUUUCAUAGAACAAGAUUUUGCAGCUUUUUUUUUCUUCCAUUUUGUAGUUGUUUUUUGUUUUUUCAAUCUAAUAUUGAUGUUAUACACCGUAAAAUUUCUAUAGAUCAUCGAUUAUUGAAUCAAAAGUCGAAAAACAAAGAGUUCUUGGAGGAUUGAAAUGGGGAUUUUUGAAACUUAUAAAUUUCCGCCAUUCUAUCAAAUGUAGCUUUAAUACCUCAUAUAUUUUCAUAAAAAUGGAGGGCUUUGAUUGAUUGUUGAAGGAUUCAACGUUUACAUAUUACAAUUUUUCCAAAACAAUGAAGAUUUGAGGUUUUUUUGGGCCCCAAGUAUUGCUACUCCAAUAACUGUUUUUUAUCCAAACAAAUUGAUUUCUAAUCAAUCAGUUGAUCGAUUUUUAUCGAAUUGAUCACUGAAGUUUGAUCAUAAAGGCCUUAUCCAUCAAAUAAACUAGUAAUUUUGAUUUACUAUUGAUUAAAUGUUUUUAUAUUGAUUUUUUUUACUGCACUUUUUCUUGAAAUUUUCGUGAAGUGAAAUAUCCGCAAUUUUUUUUAAUAAAUAUCUCAAUAGUGAAUAAAUUUUCAUGAAAUUUGAGGCAUUUGAAUCUUAAUUGAAGUAUCUAUCAUAUCCCCAUGUCAAUUUGUUCAAAAAAAUGUGUGCUCUUUGGCUCGAUUUUAGGGUUCUUAAAAAAAAUGUGUUUUUAAUAAAAUUAAGUUUUUUAAUAUAAACAUAUGUAAUUUGUGAUGAAUAUGAGAAAAAAAAUAUAUAUUCUUUUUUAAAAAAAUUUAUAUAUUUUUUGGUGAGCUUGUUGGAUUGUUUUUAAUGUCAUAUAUUUUUUUACAAAAAUAUGUUUUUUUGUUAUGAAUAUGAGAAAAAAAUAUUUGUUUCUUUUUAAUGUUUUAUAUUUUUGGUGAGCUUGUUGGAUUGUUUUUAAUGUUAUAUAUAUUUUUUUAUAAAAAUAUUUUUUUGUGAUGAAUAUGAGAAAAAAAUUAUUUCUUUUUAAGGUUAUUGUUGGUGUAUGUUACUGAUGUCUGUGUUCUCAACUUGUUGUUUAGUUGUGGCAUUUUCUUCUAAUUUGUUUUUUUAGUUGUUACAAGCUAUCUAUCAUUUGUUGCAACUUCAUACUCCUUAAAUCAGUUUACUAUGAAGAAAAGAGGUAGAAACUAAAAAGUGAUUUACUCAUCUCUCAUGUUUCCACGUGCUGAAAUAGAUAAAAACCUAACCUGUUUUUUUUAAAAAAUAGGCAUCUUAAUUUUACAUUUUAAAGUUGUCAUCUUAUAUAAUUUUUUUUUUGUCAUGUUAAAACCCAACUCAGAAGGUUACUGAGUAAAUGAGGUUUGACCAUUUCAAAAUCGAUUUGGCCAUUUGAAAAUCGACUUGGCCACUUUUAAAAUAUGCCAUUUGGCCAUUUGAAGCAGCACUUAACACCUUGACCCACACCCUACAUUUGAUAAACAAGUUAUAAGUAAAUGAGGUGCUCUCUCUUACUACCUUGACUCACAACCCUUCGAAAAAUUGGGAACAUAAUGCUACAAAAAAAUACGCUCUCAAACCCAUUUCUAAACCGUAUUAAACGGGUUUUCAACAUUAAAACAACAUUUUUCAACAUCAACAUUAAAACAAUAUAGAAGCAUAUAUUGUUGCAUCAUCCAUUGUUAGUCGGACUUUGUAACUUCACCCAUUGAAUUUAUGUGAAAUUAUAAAUUGUCAUGCAUAUUUUCAUAAUAUUCAACUAUUAAAUUAGAUAAAAAGUUGUUUCAAAUUUUUUAUAAGAUAAAUGUAUGUAAUAUGAUGGUGUAUACUUUUUGUCUAUUUUUUUGGGGGGAUUUUGAACCUUUUUUUAAAAAAGAAAAUUUACUUGACCGGUUAAUCUGGUUAACCGCUCCGGUUAGUUCAGUUCCAGUUCAAACUGCUCCCAGCCUCAUGACCGGUUAACCGUUCUGGUUCGAUUUUGUGAAAAUUGGCUCCAAGGAAUAAAUUUUAGAGACUUUACCCAAUCAGGCGUUCGAAUCCUGCCCAUCACGUUUUUUUUUUUUAACACAUCAUUUUGCCAGAGCCAAAUUUAUAGCAAAUAUGUUAGAAUGUUUUCCCGGUAAGCUCCAAAGAAUAAAUUUUACAUACUUUACCCCAAUCAGGGGUUCGUCAUUUUGUUAGAGUUCAACAUUUGUUCACAAAGAAAAGCUGCCCAGAGUUCAAUUUCGUUAAGAGUUCAAUAUUUGUUCAAAAAAAAAAAAAAACUGCUUAAAGUCCAACAUUUGUUAAAAAAAAAAAAAAAAAAAAAGCUACCCACCCAAUCGAGCUUAAAUAGGUCAUUUUAUGUAAAGCACACUAAGCACCACACCAUUUCUUACUUUGUUGAUAAAAAAAGCACUUAUACUAUAUAUAUCCAUUAUUUUUCUUCAUUUUCCUUUGAAGAUGGACUUGGGCGAGUUACUCGGAUUCGUCCGGGUAAUUAGCCUCAGCCAGAUCUCGAGAACCUUGGUCAAAUUGAUUUUUUUAGCAUUGCUUUUAACAAAGACCCAAUAGAAAAAAAAAAAAGGAGCACAAAACAAGGUGAAGUGAGACAAACCCAUUAGCCCUAAAAAUCAAAGUUAAGCCCUAAAAAUCAACCUCACAAAAGCAGAAUGUACGAUCAUGGAGUAACCCCGUAACACACGAAUAGAACCAUGAGUAUCCCGUUUUCAUCAAUCAACAUAAAGCUAAAUGCUUUCCAAUGAGUACCCCGUUUUGAUCAAUCAAGAUAAAGCUAAAUGCUUUCCAAUGAGUAUCCCGUUUUCAUCAAUCAACAUAAAGCUAAAUGCUUUCCCCCAAUCCACAAAGCUAAACUUGAACAGGCCAUAAAAGAAAACAAAUAAACCAGAUUACUUCGCCCUAAACCAUGCUUGAUCUAAAAGCAAUGAAAGGGCACCAACUAAAAUAAAGUAAUGGAAUCUGAAGAAACUGUUUAAAAAAAAAGCAUAAUGGUAAAUGCUUUCCCUAAUCCAUGAGUGACAUAAAGCAAAGAAAUAUUGCAGGAACUAUAAAAAAAAAAACGAAGAACGAAUAUUUUAACAGGAGUUCGUGCUUACAAAAGUGAAAGUGAGAUUGGCACCCGCAAAUUUGAAAACUUGGAGGAAUAUGCGUCGUCGCUGCUAUGAAGUAAACGGAGGGAAGAAAAGGGUAGCUUGAGCGAUCAUAAAUGCAGAGAAGCC